ACAGUUUGGCAAUUUCAGGUAAACAACACGAAAGAACACAGACAGGAUGAAAGAAGGCUUUGCAAGAAAGAAGCAACAUGAAGAAAAGUGAACAUCGUAAACAUUGGGGGCAAAAUGAGCCCAUUAAU